rnacentral:rRNA from 1 species
GAUGAACGCUGGCGGCGUGCCUAAUACAUGCAAGUCGAGCGAACAGAUGAGGAGCUUGCUCCUCUGACGUUAGCGGCGGACGGGUGAGUAACACGUGGAUAACCUACCUAUAAGACUGGGAUAACUUCGGGAAACCGGAGCUAAUACCGGAUAAUAUAUUGAACCGCAUGGUUCAAUAGUGAAAGACGGUUUUGCUGUCACUUAUAGAUGGAUCCGCGCCGCAUUAGCUAGUUGGUAAGGUAACGGCUUACCAAGGCGACGAUGCGUAGCCGACCUGAGAGGGUGAUCGGCCACACUGGAACUGAGACACGGUCCAGACUCCUACGGGAGGCAGCAGUAGGGAAUCUUCCGCAAUGGGCGAAAGCCUGACGGAGCAACGCCGCGUGAGUGAUGAAGGUCUUCGGAUCGUAAAACUCUGUUUUUAGGGAAGAACAAAUGUGUAAGUAACUAUGCACGUCUUGACGGUACCUAAUCAGAAAGCCACGGCUAACUACGUG